rnacentral:rRNA from 1 species
AUACGGAGGGUGCAAACGUUGUUCGGAAUUACUGGGCAUAAAGAGCACGUAGGCUGUUCGGUCAGUCAGAUGUGAAAUCCCUCGGCUCAACCGGGGAACUGCAUCUGAUACUGCCGGGCUCGAGGAUGGUUGGGGUGAGCGGAACUCCAGGUGGAGCGGUGAAAUGCGUAGAUAUCUGGAGGAACACCGGUGGCGAAGGCGGCUCACUGGACCAAUUCUGACGCUGAGGUGCGAAAGCUAGGGUAGCGAACGGGAUUAGAAACCCCGGUAGUCC